rnacentral:rRNA from 1 species
CGGAGGGGGCGAGCGUUAUUCGGAAUUAUUGGGCGUAAAGGGCGCGUAGGCGGCUCUUUAAGUCAAAGGUGAAAUCCCUCGGCUCAACUGAGGAACUGCCUUUGAAACUGAGGAGCUUGAGUCCGGGAGGGGGUAGCGGAAUUCCCAGUGUAGCGGUGAAAUGCGUAGAUAUUGGGAGGAACACCAGUGGCGAAGGCGGCUACCUGGACCGGAACUGACGCUGAUGCGCGAAAGCGUGGGUAGCAAACAGGAUUAGAUACCCUGGUAGUCCACGCUGUAAACGAUGGGUGCUCGGUGUCGCGGGUAUCGACCCCUGCGGUGCCUUAGCUAACGCGUUAAGCACCCCGCCUGGGGAGUACGGUCGCAAGGCUG